AGGUCUGUCGCCAAGCGGUAAGGCAACGGGUUUUGAUCCCGUCAUCCCAUGGUUCGAAUCCUAGCAGACCUGCCA
rnacentral:tRNA from 1 species